GAUAAUGGCUCAGGACGAACGCUGGCGGCGUGCGUAAUACAUGCAAGUCGAGCGGACCUUCGGGUCAGCGGCGGACGGGUGAGGAACACGUGAGUCAUCGGGCUGUGAGUGGGGGAUAUCGGGCCGAAAGGCGCGGCAAUCCCGCAUACGUUCCGGGGAACCGGAAGAAAGCUUGGCAACAGGCGCUCACAGGGGAGCUCGCGGCCCAUUAGCUAGUUGGGGGGGUAACGGCCUCCCAAGGCGACGAUGGGUAGCCGGCCUGAGAGGGUGAACGGCCACACUGGGACUGAGACACGGCCCAGACUCCUACGGGAGGCAGCAGUAGGGAAUCUUCCACAAUGGGCGCAAGCCUGAUGGAGCAACGCCGCGUGAGUGAAGACGGCCUUCGGGUUGUAAAGCUCUGUCUGUCGGGACGAAGACCGGCCCGCGAGGGCCGGGGAGCCGGUUACCGACGGAGGAAGCCCCUGCAAACUACGUGCCAGCAGCCGCGGUAAGACGUAGGGGGCAAGCGUUGUCCGGAAUUACUGGGCGUAAAGGGCGUGUAGGCGGUGCGAUACGUAGCGGUUUUAAGCCUCCGGCUCACCCGGAGGAGGGCGGCUAAACGGUCGCGCUUGGAGGGCAGGAGAGGUGCGUGGAAUUUCCUGGUGGAGCGGUGAAAUGCGUAGAGAUCAGGAAGAACACCCGUGGCGAAGGCGGCGCACUGGCCUGGCCCUGACGCUGAGGCGCGACAGCGUGGGGAGCGAACGGGAUUAGAUACCCCGGUAGUCCACGCCGUAAACGAUGGGUACUAGGUGUCGCCCGGGUCCACCGGGCGGUGCCGGAGCUAACGCACUAAGUACCCCGCCUGGGGAGUACG
rnacentral:rRNA from 1 species